CCCGGGCCCUCCCUGGCUCUCUGCCACUGGAGCUGCGUGUCCGAGUAAACAAAAAGCCAAUAGUGACUGUGAGGGAUGGAAGAGCCACUGUCACACUCAAACCCACCAUCGACGUCGCCAGUCCUGCCCUGCAGACCCCCCAGGGGCUCCUGUUCUCCCUCAAUGCGGACGUCGGUCUGAACAUCAACCCAUCAGUCUCUGAUGGCAAACUGCAAACCUCCCUGGCUCUUGACAGCAUCAACCUGACACAGUUCCCCCGGAGUCUUGAUAUUUCCAGAGCCUCUGCACUUGCAGAAUGGCUCAAGAAGGUCUUCACAGCUGUAUAUGUACCUUUUGUUCAAGAUGCCUUCCGUGUGUCGGUCCCACUGCCCAACGUCCUCAACACCAACCUCAGGAACGUUGAAGUCAACAUUGCUGACGU